CCAACAUUCAGCCUGCAUGUCUGCUGCUACAGAGGAGAAAAGCAUGGCUUCCACCUCCUUCCACCUCCGCCUUCCAAAUUUCACACAGGCUGAAGAGGCAGCGGCUACCCAAGAGAAGCGUAAGAGAGCAAGCAAAAGAGCCAUCGGGCCUCUUCGAGCCUAAGCACGGAACCAGCCCCAAGCCCCGAGCCCCAAGCCAGGGGAUGGGAAAGUACACUGUGGCCACGAGCAGACACAGCAGGAGCGGGGAUGCGGGGAGGGCCCAUAAUUCUCUCUCCCAGAAUGUGACAGAGUCCUGGGUCGGAGGCUACAACACGGUGGCCCUGCUCUUCUAGGCGUCACCUACGAAUGGCGCAGAGUGAAA